CUUGCUACUUUGCCGGCGAGCGGCGGACGGGUGAGUAAUGUCUGGGAAACUGCCUGAUGAGGGGGAUAACUACUGGAAACGGUAGCUAAUACCGCAUGACCUCGCAAGAGCAAAGUGGGGGACCUUCGGGCCUCACGCCAUCGGAUGUGCCCAGAUGGGAUUAGCUAGUAGGUGAGGUAAUGGCUCACCUAGGCGACGAUCCCUAGCUGGUCUGAGAGGAUGACCAGCCACACUGGAACUGAGACACGGUCCAGACUCC
rnacentral:rRNA from 1 species